rnacentral:rRNA from 1 species
CCUACGGGAGGCAGCAGUAGGGAAUAUUGCACAAUGGGGGAAACCCUGAUGCAGCAACGCCGCGUGAGGGAAGAAGUAUUUCGGAUUGUAAACCUCUUUUAUCAGGGAAGAAUAUGACAGUACCUGACUAAUAAGCACCGGCUAACUCCGUGCCAGCAGCCGCGGUAAUACGUAGGGUGCAAGCGUUAUCCGGAUUUACUGGGUGUAAAGGGAGCGUAGACGGCUGCGCAAGUCAGAUGUGAAAGCCCGUGGCUCAACCACGGGACUGCUUUUGAAACUGUGUCGCUGGAGUGUAGGAGAGGUAAGUGGAAUUCUUGGUGUAGCGGUGAAAUGCGUAGAGAUCAGGAGGAACACUCGUGGCGAAGGCGGCUUACUGGACUGUAACUGACGUUGAGGCACGAAAGCGUGGGGAGCAAACAGGAUUAGAUACCCUGGUAGUC